GUCUGGUGCCCGCUGGGCUGCGCCCAAACCUACAAGGUCUACGGAACACAGAUCUACCAACAAGAGUCAAACAUCUGCGCGGCUGCCAUUCACUCGGGCCUCAUUGAGAACAAGAUCGGAGGAAUCGUGACUUUGCAGAAGAGUGAGCCACAGAAGGCCUACAACAGCUCCGCCAGAAACGGGAUCGCCUCGAAAGAAUAUGUGAACAAAUUGGCUCCGUCUCCGUCUUACACGUUUGUUGACAAGG